rnacentral:rRNA from 1 species
GACGAACGCUGGCGGCGUGCUUAACACAUGCAAGUCGAACGGUGACGUCGGAGCUUGCUCCGACUGAUCAGUGGCGAACGGGUGAGUAACACGUGAGUAACCUGCCCCUGGCUCUGGGAUAACCUCGGGAAACCGAAGCUAAUACCGGAUAUGACACAGACAGGCAUCUGUACUGUGUGGAAAGUUUUUCGGCCAGGGAUGGACUCGCGGCCUAUCAGCUUGUUGGUGGGGUAAUGGCCUACCAAGGCGACGACGGGUAGCCGGCCUGAGAGGGCGACCGGCCACACUGGGACUGAGACACGGCCCAGACUCCUACGGGAGGCAGCAGUGGGGAAUAUUGCGCAAUGGGCGAAAGCCUGACGCAGCGACGCCGCGUGAGGGAUGAAGGCCUUCGGGUUGUAAACCUCUUUCAGCAGGGAAGAAGCGAAAGUGACGGUACCUGCAGAAGAAGCACCGGCUAACUACGUGCCAGCAGCCGCGGUAAAAC